UACCAGCACCCCGAGUGGUCGGGACGUUUAUUGGGCCUAAAGCAUCCGUAGCCGGUUCUACAAGUCUUCCGUUAAAUCCAGCUGCUUAACAGAUGGGCUGCGGAAGAUACUAUGGAGCUAGGAGGCGGGAGAGGCAAGCGGUACUCGAUGGGUAGGGGUAAAAUCCGUUGAUCCAUUGAAGACCACCAGUGGCGAAGGCACUUUACUGGGCUAUUACUAACACUGAGAGACGAAAGCUAGGGUAGCAAAUGGG
rnacentral:rRNA from 1 species